UAUGUGAUCGUCUCUCGCAUAUCAAUAAGCGGAGGAAAAGAAACUAACAAGGAUUCCCCUAGUAACGGCGAGUGAAGCGGGAAGAGCUCAAAUUUGAGAUCUUAAAGGGUUUCCCUUUACGAAUUGUAGUUUAAAGAAGUGUUUUCUGUUGAGGUUUUGGUAAAAGUUCUUUGGAAUAGGACAUCAUAGAGGGUGAGAAUCCCGUAUUUGACCUUUACUUUCAACUUUGUGAUACACUUUCAAAGAGUCGGAUUGUUUGGGAAUGCAGUCCAAAAUGGGUGGUAAAUUUCAUCUAAAGCUAAAUAUUGGCGAGAGACCGAUAGCGAACAAGUACCGUGAGGGAAAGAUGAAAAGAACUUUGAAAAGAGAGUUAAACAGUACGUGAAAUUGUCAAAAGGGAAGCGUUUGACACCAGUGUUGUUUUCUGAAAAUCAAUUAAAGAACUGUUUAUGCUAAGUUGUUAGACUUUAUCAGCUAACUGUUUAGUCUUGAGCUUUUCUUUAAUGCACUUUUCAGUUAACAAGUCAACAUCAAUUUCUUUUGCCUGUAAAAAAGCUUGAGGAAGGUGGCUUGAGAUUCGUCUUAAGUGUUUAUAGCCUCUUGCCUAUGCAGUCGGAGAGAUUGAGGUCUGCAGCGUAGAUCCUUCGGGGCUAAAUGCAUUUGUGCUAAGUUAUAGCAUUUUAUAGACAACUUGUUGACUAUGAUUUGUCUUGUAGCUUACUCGCUUAUGUUAUUUUACCUACGCUUAGGAUGUUGACACACGCGCGUGCUCG
rnacentral:rRNA from 1 species